GUUGAAACCCAUUUCUCUCUCUUCUUCCUCAUUUUCCUUCUUUUCAUCAACUCUCUCUGUCUUCUCUCUCUUUCCCCUCAAACCCUAUGUCCGCCGCCGCCCCUUUCUCUCCUGUAUCUACGACUACUACCAACGUAAAAACCAUUUUUCGUACGCCUGCUCAUUCAAUAUCUGGCAAUAUAUGAUACCUCAGAGAUGAAACGCAUUCGGCUGGUGCUGUUUGUUUGAUAAAACUCGAGACUUCUGUGACUGUUGCAGGGUGUAAUGGUGAUUCUGGGUAUUCAACUGAAUGCGGUGUCUGUUGUAAACCUGAUUAUGUCAAUAUGGAUUGCUGUGGAAUUUUGUGUGCAUAUAGCCCAUGCAUUCAUGGUUAGUUUAAUCAUCUGUUUUGUUUCAGGUGUCUGCCAUGGAAAUUACUUUAGCUUGUGGAAAUUACUUUAGUCCCCCUAUUAAAAAAAUGCAUGUUUACUUUAGCUGGUGUUUGAGGUAAUUUUAUACAACUUCAACUAAUUCUUGUAAUUUCUAAUUUAUUUCCAUUCAUUUCUAAACUAAAACUAUAUCAUCUCUUGCUCUAACUUUUGCUUAUGUACUUGUGGGAAUUAAUUAGACUUGGUACUGUAAGAGAUAAAGGUGUGGAAUUUAUUUUGUCAUUAGAGGAGCUUCUAAUAAUUGUGCAGAAAAUUAGCUUUCCUUUGGAUGCAAUAAACAAAGAAAUAAGUCAAAAUUAUGUUGUUUAAACAGAGUUAGCAUGAAGAAUCUAGAAGUAUAAAGAAAAAUGCAUUUAAUUAUGAUGAAUUGUUGAGUUUUGAAUGAUAAAACCAAGUUAUUUAGAUGUGUAUAAUCAUAUUUUGUUCUUAAUUCGACUUUACACAUCCAAAAGAUACUUGGAAGAUGUUUUUGCCCUUAGAUGGGGCAUUCCUUUUCGGCGCAUCUGCCGUGGUGUUGGGAGGACAACCCAAGCUCCGUCAUUCCAAUGGGCAAGGAUGCUGGUCUACGAAGUUUGCUAAAUUUAUUUUUUAUUUGCUUAAGAAUGCUAAGAGCAAUGGGAGCAAUACUAAAUUAUGUCUUUUAUAUUUUAAGUUUGAUAUUGACUUUCAUAUUGUAGUUUGAUAUUUUUAACCAACUUUUAAUCACAUUGUUCUAUUAAUUUUCUAAUUCCAAUUAAAAGGUUUGGAUGCGGAUGUACUCUUUGUUUCUCAUAUGCAGGUCAAUCAAGCUCGAAUGCAAAGACGUCGUACUUACAGGGCUCAUGGAAGCACUCUUUGUUUCUCAUAUCCAAAUGACAUCUAUGUCCUCGGGGAUGUUGUGUUUGAGAGGGUGUUUAAUGUUGUAUAUUCAGCCUUGCUGGUGUAUUUGAUUUUGCCAGGUGUUGCUGUAUUGUUGCAGUUUCUGGUUUCUUUUUGUUGAUUGUUAGCAUUUUAAAACAGUUUGUUUGGUUCUUUGACAUGUCUUAGGUCUGAGUUUAUAUAUUUUCUGUUGUUUCAAAAAAAUGAUUCAUCCUGUUAGAAGUCAUAUGGUUAUAUAAAUAUAUCAUAAACCAUUUGUUUGUUUAUUAUAUAUGGUUAUAUAAAUAUAUCAUACUGUUAGAAUGUCAAUGCUAUUAUAUUAUAUAUGUGUUAUAUAUGUGAUACCAGAACAACUUCAUAGCUAAAUUAUCAAUGCUAUUAAUCAAUUACUACUUUAGCUUUUAUGAUAAGGUUUAUUUGGGUACUGUCAUGAUAAUGUAUCAAACAAACUGUUUUAAUCUGAAUGAAAGAUUAUUAUCUCUCUGUAGAAAUUUGAGAAGCAGCAUCCUUUGUCAUAAAAAUAAAAGAAGGAAUACUAUAGUGAUAGAAAAAAAAGAAGAGAAAUACUACACCACAAUUUUACUUUCUUUUUCUUUUUAGAUUUCUGAUAUGUUUCUUUUCAAAUCUAUUAAAUCUUGAAUUUUUGUGUAACAAGUAUAAAUACAUUUCAAUCAGGUGAUAAUGUAUAAAAUUCUGAUGUUUUCUUCUCUUUUCAAAAUUAUUUUAAAUAUUUUACUUUGUUUAUACAUUUUCUCAUCUAUUAUGAACUAACAACCUAACACUAAAUUG